rnacentral:rRNA from 1 species
UACGAAGGGGGCUAGCGUUGCUCGGAUUGACUGGGCGUAAAGGGCGCGUAGGCGGUUCGUACAGUCAGACGUGAAAUUCCUGGGCUCAACCUGGGGGCUGCGUUUGAUACGUGCGGACUUGAGUGCGGAAGAGGGUCGUGGAAUUCCCAGUGUAGAGGUGAAAUUCGUAGAUAUUGGGAAGAACACCGGUGGCGAAGGCGGCGACCUGGUCCGAUACUGACGCUGAGGCGCGAAAGCGUGGGAGCAACAGG